rnacentral:rRNA from 1 species
GACAGAGGGUGCAAACGUUGUUCGGAAUUACUGGGCGUAAAGCGCGUGUAGGCGGCCCUGCAAGUCGGGUGUGAAAUCCCUCGGCUUAACCGGGGAACUGCGUCUGAUACUGGAUGGCUUGAGUUUGGGAGAGGGAUGCGGAAUUCCAGGUGUAGCGGUGAAAUGCGUAGAUAUCUGGAGGAACACCGGUGGCGAAGGCGGCAUCCUGGACCAACACUGACACUGAGGAGCGAAAGCCAGGGGAGCAAACGGG